UACGGAGGGUGCGAGCGUUGUCCGGAAUCACUGGGCGUAAAGGGCGCGUAGGCGGCCUGAUAAGUAGGGGGUGAAAUCCUGCGGCUUAACCGCAGGGCUGCCUUCUAAACUGUCGGGCUAGAGCACGGUAGAGGCAGAUGGAUUCCCGGUGUAGCGGUGGAAUGCGUAGAGAUCGGGAGGAACACCUGUGGCGAAGGCGGCCCCCUGGGCCGGCCCUGACACUGAGACGCGAAGGCGUGGGGAGCGAACGGG
rnacentral:rRNA from 1 species